AACGCGAAGAACCUUACCAAGGCUUGACAUCCCAAUGACCGGUGUAGAGAUACACCUUCUCUUCGGAGCAUUGGUGACAGGUGGUGCAUGGUUGUCGUCAGCUCGUGUCGUGAGAUGUUGGGUUAAGUCCCGCAACGAGCGCAACCCUUAUCUUCAGUAGCCAUCAUUAAGUUGGGCACUCUGGAGAGACUGCCGUGGAUAACACGGAGGAAGGUGGGGAUGACGUCAAAUCAUCAUGCCCCUUAUGUCUUGGGCUACAC
rnacentral:rRNA from 1 species